AAUAUUGCACAAUGGGCGCAAGCCUGAUGCAGCCAUGCCGCGUGUAUGAAGAAGGCCUUCGGGUUNUAAAGUACUUUCAGCGGGGGNGAAGGCGAUAAGGUUAAUAACCUUGUCUAUUGACGUUACCCGCUGAAGAAGCACCGGCUAACUUCGUGACAGCAGCCGCGGUAAUACGGAGGGUGCAAGCGUUAAUCGGAAUUACUGGGCGUAAAGCGCACGCAGACGGUCUGUCACGUCGGAUGUUAAUACCCCGGGCUCAACCUGGGAACUGCAUUCGAAACUGGCAGGCUAGAGUCUUGUAGAGGGGGGUAGAAUUCCAGGUGUAGCGGUGAAAUGCGUAGAGAUCUGGAGGAAUACCGGUGGCGAAGGCGGCCCCCUGGACAAAGACUGACGCUCAGGUGCGAAAGCGUGGGGAGCAAACAGG
rnacentral:rRNA from 1 species